rnacentral:rRNA from 1 species
UACGAAGGGGGCUAGCGUUGCUCGGAAUCACUGGGCGUAAAGGGUGCGUAGGCGGGUCUUUAAGUCAGGGGUGAAAUCCUGGAGCUCAACUCCAGAACUGCCUUUGAUACUGUCUGUCUUGAGUCCGGGAGAGGUGAGUGGAAUUCCUAGUGUAGAGGUGAAAUUCGUAGAUAUUAGGAAGAACACCAGUGGCGAAGGCGGCUCACUGGCCCGGUACUGACGCUCAUGUGCGAAAGCGUGGGGAGCAAGCAGG